rnacentral:rRNA from 1 species
GUCUGGGGCCAGAUCCCCCUGAACGCGCCGGAUCUUCUCUGAUCUCGGAAGCUGAGCAGAGUCGGCCUGCUUAGUACUUCGAUGGGAGAUCGCCUGGGAAUAGCGGGUGCUGCGGGCU